rnacentral:rRNA from 1 species
ACGAACGCUGGCGGCGUGCUUAACACAUGCAAGUCGAACGGGCCCGCCCCUGUUUUUGGGGGUGGGUUGAGUGGCGAACGGGUGAGUAUCACGUGAGUAACCUGCCCCCUGCUCCUGGAUAACUGCUUGAAAGGGCGGCUAAUACGGGGUGUGCCGGCUGGUCCGCAUGGGCCUGGUCGGGAUAGUUUCAUCUUCGGGUGUUUCGGUGGGGGAUGGGCUCGCGGCCUAUCAGCUUGUUGGUGGGGUGAUGGCCCACCAAGGCGGUGACGGGUAGCCGGCCUGAGAGGGUGGGCGGCCACACUGGGACUGAGACACGGCACAGACUCCUGCGGGAGGCAGCAGUGGGGGGUAUUGCACAAUGGGCGGAAGCCUGAUGCAGCGACGUCGCGUGAGGGAUGGAGGCCUUCGGGUUGUGAACCUCUUUCUCCGGUGGUGAAGGCCCUGUCCGUUGCGGCGGGGUUGACGGUAGCCGGGUAUGAAGCGCCGGCUAACUACGUG